rnacentral:rRNA from 1 species
GCAGUCGAGGGGCAGCAGUCCCGAGUAAUCGGGAGCUGGCGACCGGCGCACGGGUGAGUAACGCGUAUGCAACCUACCUUCAACCGGGGGAUAGCUUUCGGAAACGGAAAUUAAUACCCCAUAACAAUAUAAUAUGGCAUCGUAUUAUAUUUAAAACUUCGGUGGUUAAAGAUGGGCAUGCGUAACAUUAGCUAGUUGGUAAGGUAACGGCUUACCAAGGCGACGAUGUUUAGGGGUCCUGAGAGGGUGAUCCCCCACACUGGUACUGAGACACGGACCAGACUCCUACGGGAGGCAGCAGUGAGGAAUAUUGGUCAAUGGACGGAAGUCUGAACCAGCCAUCCCGCGUGCAGGAAGACGGCCCUAUGGGUUGUAAACUGCUUUUCUGAAGGAAGAAUAACCCUGAUUUUUCGGGGGACGACGGUACUUCAGGAAUAAGCAUCGGCUAACUCCGUGCCAGCAGCCGCGGUAAUACGGAGGAUGCAAGCGUUAUCCGGAUUUAUUGGGUUUAAAGGGUGCGUAGGCGGACUGGUAAGUCAGUGGUGAAAUUUUCCGGCUCAACCGGGAGACUGCCGUUGAAACUGUCAGUCUUGAGUCAGGUUGAGGUAGGCGGAAUGUGUAAUGUAGCGGUGAAAUGCUUAGAUAUUACACAGAACACCAAUUGCGUAGGCAGCUUACUGGACCUGCACUGACGCUGAGGCACGAAAGCGUGGGGAGCGAACAGGAUUAGAUACC